rnacentral:rRNA from 1 species
AUCAACGCUGGCGGCGCGCUUAACACAUGCAAGUCGAACGGGAAAGAGGAGCAAUCCUUGAGUACAGUGGCGUACGGGUGAGUAACACGUGGGUGAUCUACCUCUUCGGUGGGGAAUAACCCUGGGAAACCGGGGCUAAUACCGCAUAAGCCGCCCCUGUAAAGGGGGGACGGGAAAGGAGCAAUCCGCCGAGAGAGGAGCCCGCGGCCGAUUAGCCUGUUGGUAGGGUAAAGGCCUACCAAAGCUGAGAUCGGUAGCCGGCCUGAGAGGGCACACGGCCACACUGGCACUGAAACACGGGCCAGACUCCUACGGGAGGCAGCAGUGGGGAGUCUUGCACAAUGGGGGAAACCCUGAUGCAGCGACGCCGCGUGAGCGAUGAAGCCCUUCGGGGUGUAAAGCUCUUUCGGCAGGGAAGAAUAAAGACGGUACCUGCAGAAGCAGCUGCGGCUAACUACGUGCCAGCAGCCGCGGUAAUACGUAGGCAGCGAGCGUUGUUCGGAGUUACUGGGCGUAAAGGGUGUGUAGGCGGUCCUCCAAGUUUGGUGUGAAAUCUCCCGGCUCAACCGGGAGGGUGCGCCGAAAACUGGGGGGCUUGAGUGCGGAAUGGGAGAGUAGAAUUCCUGGUGUAGCGGUGAAAUGCGUAGAUAUCAGGAGGAAUACCGGUGGUGAAGACGGCUCUCUGGACCGUAACUGACGCUGAGACACGAAAGCGUGGGUAGCAAACAGGAUUAGAUACCCUGGUAGUCCUAGCCGUAAACGUUGGGCACUAGGUGUGGCGGAUGCAUUCACGUCUGCUGCGCCGUAGCUAACGCAUUAAGUGCCCCGCCUGGGGAGUACGGCCGCAAGGCUAAAACUCAAAGGAAUUGACGGGGGCCCGCACAAGCGGCGGAGCAUGCGGCUCAAUUCGAUGCGACCCGAAGAACCUUACCUGGGUUUGACAUCACGGGAAAAGCCAUAGAGAUAUGGUGUCCUUACGGGCCCGUGACAGGUGGUGCAUGGCUGUCGUCAGCUCGUGUCGUGAGAUGUUGGGUUAAGUCCCGCAACGAGCGCAACCCCUGUCCCAUGUUGCCAGCGGAUAAUGCCGGGGACUCAUGGGAGACUGCCGGGGACAACUCGGAGGAAGGUGGGGAUGACGUCAAGUCAUCAUGCCCCUUAUGUCCAGGGCUGCACGCAUGCUACAAUGGCCGGUACAACGGGCGGCGAUCCUGCAAAGGUGAGCGAAUCCCUUAAAGCCGGCCUCAGUGCGGAUUGGAGUCUGCAACUCGACUCCAUGAAGGCGGAGUCGCUAGUAAUCGCGGAUCAGCAAAGCCGCGGUGAAUACGUUCUCGGGCCUUGUACACACCGCCCGUCACAUCACGAAAGUCGGCAACACCCGAAGUCAGUGGCCCAACCCUUUUGGGAGGGAGCUGCCGAAGGUGGGGUCGGUAAUUGGGAUGAAGUCGUAACAAGGUAACC